rnacentral:rRNA from 1 species
CUACGGGUCGCAGCAGUGGGGAAUAUUGCACAAUGGGCGCAAGCCUGAUGCAGCCAUGCCGCGUGUAUGAAGAAGGCCUUCGGGUUGUAAAGUACUUUCAGCAGGGAGGAAGGGAGUAAAGUUAAUACCUUUGCUCAUUGACGUUACCCGCAGAAGAAGCACCGGCUAACUCACGUGCCAGCAGCCGCGGUAAUACGGAGGGUGCAAGCGUUAAUCUGAAUUACUGGGCGUAAAGCGCACGCAGGCGGUUUGUUAAGUCAGAUGUGAAAUCCCCGGGCUCAACCUGGGAACUGCAUCUGAUACUGGCAAGCUUGAUUCUCGUAGAGGGGGGUAGAAUUCCAAGUGUAGCGGUGACAUGCGUAGAGAUCUGGAGGAAUACCGGUGGCGAAGGCGGCCCCCUGGACGAAGACUGACGCUCAGGUGCGAAAGCGUGGGGAGCAAACAGGAUUAGAUACCCUAGUAGUC